AGCGAACGCUGGCGGCAGGCUUAACACAUGCAAGUCGAGCGGGCCCUUCGGGGUCAGCGGCAGACGGGUGAGUAACGCGUGGGAACGUGCCCUUCGGUUCGGAAUAACCCUGGGAAACUAGGGCUAAUACCGGAUACGCCCCUUGGGGGAAAGGUUUACUGCCGAAGGAUCGGCCCGCGUCUGAUUAGCUUGUUGGUGAGGUAACGGCUCACCAAGGCGACGAUCAGUAGCUGGUCUGAGAGGAUGAUCAGCCACACUGGGACUGAGACACGGCCCAGACUCCUACGGGAGGCAGCAGUGGGGAAUAUUGGACAAUGGGCGCAAGCCUGAUCCAGCCAUGCCGCGUGAGUGAUGACGGCCUUAGGGUUGUAAAGCUCUUUUGUCCGGGACGAUAAUGACGGUACCGGAAGAAUAAGCCCCGGCUAACUUCGUGCCAGCCGCCGCCGUAACAC
rnacentral:rRNA from 1 species